rnacentral:tRNA from 1 species
UAGACAUUAGUAAAAAGUAAACUACACCACCUUGUCAAGGUGGGGGCGCAGGUUAGACCCCUGCAUGUCUUA